ACGCCUAAACACACAAUACCUGCAGCGAGUGAGGAGAGAGUCAUCUGCGCAAUGUUUAAGAUUAUUUGCAAAACGUUUGAUCCUAAUCCUGGAGCGCAGCUUCAUGUAUCUCUUUGCACAGACGAGAUUUUUUUUCUCUAAAACGAAAGUAGAAUGGGCGUUUUGGAAGGCCUUGUUUCAGAUGGUAUCGCAUUUCCGAGGAGGAUAACGCAAAAAGCGUUUCGUUGACAAUGGUUUCUCAAUUGUCAAUAUAUAAUUCAAUUUGGUCUUUCUCAGUUAGACCAUUUCUGAUCAAAUUACGCGGUUAAUUUCCAAUAGACAAGGAGGUCACUAUUAGAUGAAGAAAACCAGGGCAUGUUUGUGUGCGUUGUCUGGGUAGAAUCAACUACAGACCAUGAAUGUUGAACAGAAAAAUGUCUACAUUCAUCCAAAUACAAUAAUUGCGAGAUCAGAUAGAAAAACAACAAUUCACUAGAAUUGCCCGUGCACCCAAUUUUUGUACCAAGCUAUUAGCAUCGACAAUUUGGCGAGGAGGUGCAGUGUCUUGGAACGUUUUCCAACGAAAACAUGCGGAUAAACUGUCGAAUGUUUGCAAGAGGCCGAUAUGAGAAAUCAUAAAGUAAGCACAGUUCGUUAUGAAAGGAAGCACCUGACUAAAAAUUAACAGAUAGCUUUAAAUCAUGAAAGAAAUUCGCCUACAAGAUAUUAAAAACUUGAGUAUAAAAAUAGUAACUACAUACAUGCCCCGCGAGUGAAUAGCUGCAUGAUGCCCUGUCAUGACGUCAUAUAGGUCAUCUCACAGCAUCCUUUAAUAUCGAUGGAACACACAAGCAGUACAAUACACAAACGAAUCGAGAAAUUAAAAGAAUUAAACAUCCGUUUGUUUGUCACAUUUCAGGAGACGUUUCAUACAUUCUUAAUGUCAACCAAUGUCGGCAUAAACUUAAUAAUCCUGCUAUCAAAUAUAAUUGAUUUCGUGUCAUCCGCCAACUCCACGGGCAACGGAUCUCUCCGCCAGACUGUGUGUGCAAUAGUUGCUUCAGUCCUCUGUCCCAUGCUUGUAUCGACUAACAAAUGCCAACCGAUCACUGAAUAAUCUACGGCACAUUUUUGUUUUCUUGGAAGAGAUUGAAUAUCGUAGUGAAUAUUAGCAAAAAAGUCUCAAUAACGUAACAGAUAAGAACAAUAUCCAUGGCGACAGAAACAAUUAUCACUCAACAAAAUGGUUUUACAUACAUUCAGAGAAAAAACGCUGGGGAAAAUGACAGGAGUAUCUGACAAGGUACGAGAAAAAACCUCAAAGAGAGUGAAAAGGAAAUAAAAGAACUUUGGACGUUGGAAAUGGAUGCGAAGCGAAGAGUUUGAAAUUGACUGAACAGAAAGUGUGUACCAAGACACUAAUUACAAAUGGCGUCUGUUGACCCGAAAAUAGAGUCAAUCACCCUCCUGACCUUUCUCUAGCAUUUGUAGAAAACAAUUGAUUGGUGGAAAGGAACAGUUAUAGCUUCCCACAGGCAGUUGUAAAACAUACAAUAAGGAAGAAAACUUAUUGGCGAAAACGUUUUACACUAUAUCAUUAUUUUUACUAUUUUGAGAAUUUAAAUUACGGGUUAUGAGACUAAGGUGAAUGUAAAUUUGAAUUUCCUUUCACGAUUCAUUAAAUAUUAAUUCAAAAACG
rnacentral:sRNA from 1 species